rnacentral:rRNA from 1 species
GUGCCAGCAGCCGCGGUAAUACCGGCAGCCCGAGUGAUGGCCGAUAUUAUUGGGCCUAAAGCGUCCGUAGCUGGCCGAACAAGUCCGUCGGGAAAUCCACGUGCUUAACGCGUGGGCGUCCGGUGGAAACUGCGUGGCUUGGGACCGGAAGGCGCGACGGGUACGUCCGGGGUAGGAGUGAAAUCCCGUAAUCCUGGACGGACCGCCGAUGGCGAAAGCACGUCGCGAAGACGGAUCCGACAGUGAGGGACGAAAGCUAGGGUCUCGAACCGGAUUAGAAACCCGAGUAGUCC